GGAAUAGUCUCGUUGGUGACCAGCGGAGGGACAUUGCUGGAACGCGCCCCAGGCGCACCCAGAAACCCUUUGUGAACUUAUACCUUUUGUUGCCUCGGCGCAUGCUGGCCCCUACGGGGUCCCCUGGAGACAGGGAGCAGGCACGCCGGCGGCCAAGUUAACUCUUGUUUUUACACUGAAACUCUGAGAAAAAACACAAAUGAAUCAAAACUUUCAACAACGGAUCUCUUGGUUCUGGCAUCGAUGAAGAACGCAGCGAAAUGCGAUAAGUAAUGUGAAUUGCAGAAUUCAGUGAAUCAUCGAAUCUUUGAACGCACAUUGCGCCCUCUGGUAUUCCGGAGGGCAUGCCUGUUCGAGCGUCAUUUCAACCCUCAAGCAUUGCUUGGUGUUGGGGCACUGCUUUUUAACGAAGCAGGCCCUGAAAUCUAGUGGCGAGCUCGCCAGGACCCCGAGCGUAGUAGUUAAACCCUCGCUCUGGAAGGCCCUGGCGGUGCCCUGCCGUUAAACCCCCAACUUCUGAAAAUUUGACCUCGGAUCAGGUAGGAAUACCCGCUGAACUUAAGCAUAUCAAAAGGCCGGAGGAA
rnacentral:rRNA from 1 species